CCCUCGUAGUUCAGCUGGAUAGAACACCGCCGUCCUAAGGCGGGUGUCGGGGGUUCGAAUCCCUCCGAGGGUG
rnacentral:tRNA from 1 species